GUCUCUGAUCUGAUCACAUUUCCUAUAGGAAAGGUCCAAGGUUAGCCACAGUAAGAAUCAAAAGGCAGUAGUAUGGAGCGUGGGCAUUAGAUUAAUACCGCAUUAGCGUAGGGUGGCAGGCAAGGGUUGGGGGCUAAGGGAGAGGCCACCAGUCCAGGAUGACUGAUGCACAGACUGAUGCUUAGCAGGACACCUCCAUGGACUUGGGCCCGGCAUUGUUUCCGGUGGCACCCGAGUUGGGGGUGAUGUUGAGACGGGCAUCCUCGCUGGUAUGGGAGCGGCUACGGGACCCCUCACUGGUGUGCGAGCGGCUUCGGGGGCCCUCGCUGGUAUGGGAGCGGCUACGGGUGCCUUCCAGGGAUGUGACACUGGAACCAGAGGCUGUGCGGGACCGCAUCAGGCGAGUCAUGCUGGCAGAAGGC
rnacentral:lncRNA from 1 species